UCUAUUAUGGCAGAUAAGUGCCAUGGAUUUAAGAUCCAAAUAUAAAGUGAUAAACUUUUUUUAGAA
rnacentral:tRNA from 1 species